rnacentral:rRNA from 1 species
UGCAGUCGAACGGAUCCUUCGGGAUUAGUGGCAGACGGGUGAGUAACGCGUGGGAAGCUACCUUGUGGUAGGGGACAACAGUUGGAAACGACUGCUAAUACCCUAUGAGCCCUAUGGGGGAAAGAUUUAUCGCCAUGAGAUGUGCCCGCGUUAGAUUAGCUAGUUGGUAAGGUAAUGGCUUACCAAGGCGACGAUCUAUAGCUGGUCUGAGAGGAUGAUCAGCCACACUGGGACUGAGACACGGCCCAGACUCCUACGGGAGGCAGCAGUGGGGAAUAUUGGACAAUGGGGGCAACCCUGAUCCAGCCAUGCCGCGUGUGUGAUGACGGCCUUAGGGUUGUAAAGCACUUUCAGCAGUGAAGAUAAUGACAUUAACUGCAGAAGAAGCCCCGGCUAACUUCGUGCCAGCAGCCGCGGUAAUACGAAGGGGGCUAGCGUUGUUCGGAAUCACUGGGCGUAAAGAGUACGUAGGCGGACUGAUAAGUUAGGGGUGAAAUCCCAAGGCUCAACCUUUGGAACUGCCUUUGAUACUGUCAGUCUUGAGAUCGAGAGAGGUGAGUGGAACUCC